rnacentral:rRNA from 1 species
AUUGAACACUGGCGGCAUGCCUUACACAUGCAAGUCGAACGGCAGCGCGGACUUCGGUCUGGCGGCGAGUGGCGAACGGGUGAGUAAUGUAUCGGAACGUACCAUUGAGUGGGGGAUAACGUAGCGAAAGUUACGCUAAUACCGCAUAUUCUCUCCGGAGGAAAGCAGGGGACCGCAAGGCCUUGCGCUCUUUGAGCGGCCGAUAUCAGAUUAGCUAGUUGGUGGGGUAAAAGCACACCAAGGCGACGAUCUGUAGCGGGUCUGAGAGGAUGAUCCGCCACACUGGAACUGAGACACGGUCCAGACUCCUACGGGAGGCAGCAGUGGGGAAUUUUGGACAAUGGGGGCAACCCUGAUCCAGCCAUGCCGCGUGAGUGAAGAAGGCCUUCGGGUUGUAAAGCUCUUUCGGCCGGGAAAAAAUCGCAUGGAUUAAUACUCUGUGUGGAUGAGGGUACCGGAAUAAGAAGCACCGGCUAACUACGUGCCAGCCGCCGCGGUAAUAC